rnacentral:misc_RNA from 1 species
UCCGGUUUAACACCGGCGGUCUCCCUAGAGUGCCCAACUGAAUGGUGGCAACUAGGGACAAGGGUUGCGCUCGUUAAGGGACUUAACCCGACAUCUCACGAUACGAGCUGACGACAGCCAUGCAGCACCUAAACCGUAGGCCCCCGAAGGGGAAACCCUAUCUCUAGGGCUGUCCUACGUUGUCUAACCCAGGUAAGGUUCUUCGCGUUGCAUCGAAUUAAACCACAUGCUCCACCGCUUGUGCGGGCCCCCGUCAAUUCCUUUGAGUUUUAACCUUGCGGCCGUACUUCCCAGGCGGGGUACUUAAUGCGUUAGCGUCGGCACUGCGGGGGUCAAUUCCCACAACACCUAGUACCCAUCGUUUACAGCGUGGACUAC